CGUCUCCACCGCGCCUCGUCUGCGCCGCAUGGUGAUGACCGGCGGCUUAGCCGGCGUUGGUGGCCGUGGUCGAUCCCUCGACUUUCGUAGCUUCUGGAAGGCCGGCACUAACGAGGUCCCCAGCCUCCGCGAGUUCCACGGGGCAUGUUCUUCACUGGCGUCAUGAGAGAGUGGGGGCGAGGAUGAGGCCCCUUCAUUUGGCAAGAUGUUCCACAGAUGGUCCAAUGGUGGAUUAUGAGAAGAGAAUUGCAUUAGGAGAUCUUGUAGAUUGUGAUAGCUUCCAGUGUUGACAAUGCUCGCAUGCACAUAAAAAACAUUUUAAAUCGGUUGCUGCGGGUGGCGGUGCUCUGGGGGUGCAAGGGUAGCGUGGUGCACAACUCCGACUGUUGAAGACACCGCGGCACAACCGCGUCGGUCUGUGUGCACCCCAAGUUCUUCCACACCAACCUGACCUUUCAUAAGUGGGUGUUCGGAGGUUUGGCGCCCUUGCCUAUCCAUUCUCUGAUUCGGUUUGGUGUGGUGGAGAUGUAAGUGUCUGAUAGUCUUCAGUUUGUCAGAACAAAGGGUACGAGGUAACUACAAGAUGCAUUGCUUGCUGGUUUGUUACGAUAUUUGACCUGAUGGGAGAUAAGAUGAAUUACUUGCUGGUUUGGUAUGA